UACGUAGGGUGCGGGCGUGUCCGGAAUUAUUGGGCGUAAAGAGCUCGUAGGCGGUGUGUCACGUCGGCCGUGAAAACCUGCAGCUUAACUGUGGGCGUGCGGUCGAUACGGGCAUCACUGGAGUUCGGCAGGGGAGACUGGAAUUCCUGGUGUAGCGGUGAAAUGCGCAGAUAUCAGGAGGAACACCGGUGGCGGAAGGCGGGUCUCUGGGGCCGAUACUGACGCUGAGGAGCGAAAGCGUGGGGGAGCAAACAGG
rnacentral:rRNA from 1 species